rnacentral:rRNA from 1 species
GACGAACGCUGGCGGCGUGCUUAACACAUGCAAGUCGAACGGAAAGGCCCUGCUUUUGUGGGGUGCUCGAGUGGCGAACGGGUGAGUAACACGUGAGUAACCUGACCUUGUCUUUGGGAUAACUUAAGGAAACUGGGGCUAAUAUCGGACAGGAGCUCACGCUGCAUGGUGGGGGUUGGAUAGUUUCGGCGGUUGGGGAUGGAAUCGCGGCUUAUCAGCUUGUUGGUGGGGUAGUGGCAUACCAAGGCUUUGACGGGUAGCCGGCCUGUGCGGGUGACCGGCCACAUUGGGACUGAGAUACGGCCCAGACUCCUACGGGAGGCAGCAGUGGGGAAUAUUGCACAAUGGGCGGAAGCCUGAUGCAACAACGCCGCGUGCGGGAUGACGGCAUUCGGGUAGUAAACCGCUUUCGCCUGUGACGACGCGUGAGUGACGGUAAUGGGUAAAGAAGCACCGGCUAACUACGUG